rnacentral:lncRNA from 1 species
GGGUGGAGUGAUGCCCAAGUAAUAAUGAGGUCUUUGUAAACAGAUAUUUCUUCCUGUUUAAUUCGCUAUAUAAAGUGUCACAUUAAUGAAGAGAUUAGUUACCCAGUCCUGCGUCUUUGAGACAACAUGGCUCUAGCAACAGCUCUUCUCCUCUCAGCAGCUGCCCUUAUUCUGGUCCCUGGUGUCUUCACAGAAGAAAAAGUCACGUUGUAUCCUAUUACCAUGACUGUGUACGAUGCUGUCACCAACAAGCCCAACGCCACCUACGCCACCAGCCUUCCCUACAGAGCUGUGCUGCUCGGAGCCAUGAGAAGAGCUCAGAAGAACUUCAGGUACUACAGGUUUAUUACUAAAGAGAAUUCUGACUAUGGACCCUUCUUGGAUAGUAUUAAUGGCAUGAAAGGGAUCACUGCUAAACGCACCUACUGGCAGCUUCUCAUUCAGCCCAAGAACGGCACUCUUAUUGUGGCUGAUGUGGGUGUUGGAUGCUAUAUUCCCAAUCCAGAGGACCACAUCAUCUUUAAAUUUACCAAAUGGUGAAGAGACUGACAAAAGGCUGCCUCCAUCUCCAGAUCACCUUCCUGUAUUUUCCUAUAUUGUUUUUCUUGUGCACUCUUUACAUUUAGCUGAAAUGGUGUUAAAAUUAUUAAGGUGGAGGUGAUAGCAGUGAUGAUUGAAGGGUACAUCUUUUUAUUUUUAACUAUUUUAAUAAAACUUGUUUAAGCA